UACGUAGGAUCCGAGCGUUGUCCGGAAUUACUGGGUGUAAAGCGCGUGUAGGCGGCUCGGUAAGUGUCUUGUGAAAUCCGGCGGCUCAACCGCCGAACUGCGGGACAUACUGCCGGGCUUGAGGUCGGUAGAGGCGCCUGGAACUCUAGGUGGAGCGGUGAAAUGCGUAGAUAUCUAGAGGAACGCCGGAGGCGAAAGCGGGGCGCUGGGCCGAAUCUGACGCUGAGACGCGAAAGCGUGGGGAGCAAACAGG
rnacentral:rRNA from 1 species